GAUUAACGCUGGCGGCGUGCUUUAUGCAUGCAAGUCGAACGGUCCCGAUUUAUCGGGAUAGUGGCGAAUGGGUGAGUAACGCGUAAGUAACCUGCCCCUAAGUGGGGGAUAACUCUGAGAAAUCGGAGCCAAUACCGCAUGUGGUGAUGGGGGUAAGGCUCCAUCACUAAAGCCUUUGGGUGCUUGGGGAGGGGCUUGCGUCCGAUUAGCUAGUUGGUAAGGUAACAGCCUACCAAGGCAACGAUCGGUAGCUGGUCUGAGAGGAUGGUCAGCCACACUGGGACUGAGACACGGCCCAGACUCCUACGGGAGGCAGCAGCAAGGAAUAUUGUGCAAUGGGCGAAAGCCUGACACAGCGACGCCGCGUGGGGGAAGAAGGUCUUCGGGUUGUAAACCCCUUUUCUCAGGGAAGAAUAAUGACGGUACCUGAGGAAUAAGUCUCGGCUAACUACGUGCCAGCAGCCGCGGUAAUACGUAGGAGGCAAGCGUUAUCCGGAUUUAUUGGGCGUAAAGAGGGCGUAGGUGGCUCUUCAAGUCGGAUGUAAAAUCUCCCGGCUCAACUGGGAGGGAUCAUUCGAUACUGCUGGGCUAGAGUACAGCAGGGGGAGGUGGAAUUCCCGGUGGAGUGGUGAAAUGCGUAGAUAUCGGGAGGAACACCAGUGGCGAAGGCGGCCUCCUGGGCUGUUACUGACGCUGAGGCCCGAAAGCGUGGGGAGCGAACAGGAUUAGAUACCCUGGUAGUCCACGCCGUAAACGAUGGACACUAGGUAUGGGGAGUAUCGACCCUUUCCGUGCCGAAGCUAACGCAUUAAGUGUCCCGCCUGGGGAGUACGGUCGCAAGACUA
rnacentral:rRNA from 1 species